rnacentral:lncRNA from 1 species
AAGCUUAUUUUGGUACCUGAUACAUCAUUUCAAAAGUGCAUCAGUUCUUAAGGAAAUGCACUCAUCACAUCAAACUCAAUAAUAGUUUAAGUAUAAGGACAAUCAUGAAUGUAUUGAGAUGAGUUUAAGGUGCUUCCCUUUUAUAAGAAUGGUCAGGAGUGGACUCCAAUUGAAUCCCCACUUGGUAAGACACAGUCCGGAUUAUGGAAGCUCAAUCACACACUUGGAACUGAGCUUCUUUGAUCCGGUUGGUACUGAGUAAUGCAAGAGUGAAUCCACCACUUGCAAACUCCAAUUUUGAUCAGAGGUGAGGCAAUGAACGACUUGGAUUGGCGCCAGUUGCUUCACCGUCAAAUCACCUUUGAGCUUCUUCUUAUGACCUGAGCUUGUCUCCCCCCUUUCUUCUGGCUUCUUGCCUCCAUUUAGGAGUUGAGACAAAGCUUUUCUUUGUUCAUGAGCUCAAUAGGUACCUGAUUCAAUCAUCCGAAAAAUGCAUGUAUCAAUUCUCAAGAGGCAAACCUAUUCACACAUAAGAAUAAUAAUGGUUUUAGGUACUUCCCUUGCAUCAGUUUGUUGAAUGUUGGUGAGGAUUGCUAAGCACUUGAAUCCUCCACGCCAUUCCUUCUCUCAACCAGCCUUUGCAUUUUUCUCUUGAAGUUUCAGCAUGUAGGGAAGCUCAGCACUUUUCAACUCCAUAAUUUGCCACCAUCAUGUGAUUGCUUAGCCAA